rnacentral:rRNA from 1 species
GAAGGUACUGCACGGGAGCAGGGUAAAUGCGAAGGGGGGGGGGGAUGUUCGGUGUCAUGAGGGGCAAAUGGCGCGUUGGCGGCUUGGGAAGUGUGAAUGGAAAACUCCAGGCGCAACCGGGAGCCGCCAUGCGAUACUGCUAUGGCUAGAGUCCGGUAGGGGGGUGUGGAAUUCCCGGUGUAGCGGUGAAAUGCGCGGAUAUCGGGAGGAACACCGAUGGCGAAGGCAGCACUCUGGGCCGGUACUGACGCUGAGGAGCGAAAGCGUGGGGAGCGAACAGGAUUAGAUACCCUUGUAGUC